AAGUCGUAACAAGGUUUCCGUAGGUGAACCUGCGGAAGGAUCAUUAUCGAGUUAGGGUCUAUGGCCCGACCUCCAACCCUGUGUCUAAAUACUAUGUUGCUUUGGCGAGCCCGUCUCAGGACCGCCAGAGGUCGUUUUUGGCCUCUGGCCCGUGCCCGUCAAUAGCCCUCUUUAAAACUCUUGACCAAAAAGUGUUGUCUGAGUCUCAAAACUUAAUAGUUAAAACUUUCAACAACGGAUCUCUUGGUUCUG
rnacentral:misc_RNA from 1 species